GAGAAAGUGGCAGAGCGGUAAUGCGGUCGGCUUGAAACCGGCAUUCGGGGGUUCAAACCCUUCCUUUCUCG
rnacentral:tRNA from 1 species